rnacentral:tRNA from 2 species
UGCGAGGGUUGCCGAGCCAGGUCAAAGGCGCCAGCUUGAGGGGCUGGUCUCGAAGGAGUUCUUGGGUUCAAAUCCCAUCCCUCGCAU